GUGAUUGCCCUGCAAUGGCUGCAGUGGUGAGGUCGUCCAGUGUAGCUUGUGGCAGUCACAUACAGCAGCAUGAUUCCUGCCGACAGGACCUGUCAAGCAGUCGGGUCACCUGUGCGAUGGAUUCAUACAAA